GUCUCCUUUCUUCAUUUGUCUCUGGCCCUGACUCACCCAAAGUUCUUGAAGGGCUUGGAGCUUAACCCUUAAUGGAGGAUGUAAGCUGACCCCCAGCUUGCCUAGGACACUGGCGCCCGGGGGUUUUCCUAACCCAGGGAUCGAACCUGCAUCUGCCUCAAACCUGCAUCUACUCCACCGGCAGGCGGAUUCUUUACCGUUGAGCCACCUGAAGCAUCUAUGAAGAAAGAAAAAGAGGCUGGUGAUAUGAGCUGUUGCUCAGUUACGUCCGACUCUUUGCGACCCUAUGGACUGCAGCCUGCCCAGCUCCACUGUCCAUGGAAUUCUCCAGGCAAGAACACUGGAGAGGGUUGCCAUUCCCUUCUCCAGGAGUGAUAUGAAU